rnacentral:rRNA from 1 species
UACGUAGGUGGCAAGCGUUGUCCGGAAUUAUUGGGCGUAAAGCGCGCGCAGGCGGUUCUUUAAGUUUGAUGUGAAAGCCCACGGCUCAACCGUGGAGGGUCAUUGGAAACUGGGGAACUUGAGUGCAGAAGAGGAAAGUGGAACUCCAAGUGUAGCGGUGAAAUGCGUAGAGAUUUGGAGGAACACCAGUGGCGAAGGCGACUUUCUGGUCUGUAACUGACACUGAGGCGCGAAAGCGUGGGGAGCAAACAGG